AACACCUGGCGAGGGAAACAAGUGUGAGGCUGGUGGCCGCGUGGCACUGGCUCUGUGCUGUCUACCGCCCUGACUCUCCCUGUUGUAGUGGACACAAAGUGAGUUCAGAUUUUUUUCUCACUCCGGCGCCGCAAAGGGAGGUGAGGCAGCAUGUUGUACCCUCAGCUGGUGGUGAUAGGCAUACUGAUGGGGGCGGUGCUCUUCGUUGGCUACAGCAACAGGCACAUGCAGAUUGAGUUGGUCAAGGCAAACCAAUCACUCAUUGCCUCCGAGCGAAGCCUACCUACCCUGAAAAAUGAACUUAGGAUCUGCACUACACAACUGGAGCAGCGCAAGAAACACAUCAGCGACGUGGAGAACGAGAAAAAGCAGCUAAGCGCGACUCUUGCUGACAUAGAGAAGCAGUUCACCGACAUGAAGCCUCAAGCGGACGUCCUCGCGAAGAAGGAGAAGGAGAUGCAAGAGCUUAGAGAGAAACUGAAGGCUGCUACGGAGAGCGAGUCGAAGGAGAGAGGAAAACUCACGGCCGUGCAAAAUGCCCUUGACCAGCUGGCGAAGGAGGAGGAGGAGAGGAAUGCCCAGAAAGCUAAAGCAGCAGCUCAGGAAAGCAAAGCCCCUACUGGCAGCAAGAAACAGUAGUAAUGCUAUAUAGAAUAAAAAUUGCCUAUGCAGAAUUCAAAGCUAAACGUUCAAAUUGUUCGUUAAUGUUCGCAUGUUUCGGUGGGACGACCUGAGGAUGUACUUUUCCGAUUUCCCGUGGAAUGAUUACUGCUUCCAGGAGAGAGACCCCUCUGUGUGUGCUCAGCGCAUCACAGAGGUGAUUGUCUCUGGAAUGGAGGCAUACAUUCCACGUACUUUCUCUACUCCUCAUGCUAAAAAGCCUUGGUUUAAUCAUGCUUGUUCUCGUGCUAUUAAAGAUAGAGAGGCAGCUCACAAAGGUUUCCAGAGGCUUCGAACUCCCGCUAAUUUUGAUCUUUACAUUUCAGCCCGGAAUCGUGCCAAAUCUAUUCUCCGACUAACCAAAGCUUCUUUCAUUAAUAGAAAAUGUCAACACCUUGCUUCUUCUAAUUCUUCCCGUGACUUCUGGCAUCUAGCCAAAAAAAUCUCCAAUUUCACUUCUUCCUCUUUCCCUCCUCUCCUUAACCCUGACGGCAGCACUGCUGUCUCAUCUGUCUCUAAAGCUGAACUCUUCGCUCAAACUUUCUGUAAGAACUCCACCCUGGACGAUUCUGGGCAUAUUCCUCCUACUCAUCCCCCCUCUGACUCCUUUAUGCCUGUUAUUAAGAUUCUUCCAAAUGAUGUUUUCUAUGCCCUCUCUGGCCUCAACUCUCAGAAGGUUCAUGGACCUGAUGGAGUGCCUCCUAUUGUCCUUAAAAAUGUGCUUCUGUGCUGACACCCUGCCUGGCUAAACUCUUUCGUCUCUGCCUAUCAACAUCUAUCUUUCCUUCCUGCUGGAAGUAUGCCUUUGUACAGCCUGUGCCUAAGAAGGGUGACCGUUCCAAUCCCUCAAACUACCGCCCUAUAGCUUUACCUUCCUGUCUAUCUAAAGCUUUUGAAUCAAUCUUUAACCGGAAGAUUCAGAAGCACCUUUCCACUUCUAACCUUCUAUCUGAUCGCCAGUAUGGAUUCCGCAAGGGGCGUUCUACUGUCGAUCUUCUUGCUCUCUUAACUGACUCUUGGUCAUCCUCUCUUAGCCGUUUCGGUGAAACUUUCUCUGUUGCGCUAGACAUAUCGAAAGCCUUCGAUAGAGUCUUUGCUUUCUAAACUGCCCUCUUUCGGAUUCUAUCCCUCUCUCUGUUCCUUUAUCUCCAUUUUCCUUUCCGGCCGUUCUAUCUCUGCGGUGGUAGACGGUCACUGCUCUUCCCCUAAACCUGUCAACAGUGGCGUUCCACAGGGCUCUGUCCUAUCACCCACUCUCUUCCUGUUAUUCAUCAAUGAUCUUCUUUCCAUAACAAACUGUCCUGUCCACUCAUACGCCGACGACUCCACUCUGCAUUAUUCAACUUCUUUCAAUAGAAGACCCUCUCAACAGGAAGUACACGACUCCAGACUGGAGGCUGCAGAACGCUUAACCUCAGGCCUUGCUAUCAUUUCCGAUUGGGGCAGAAGGAACCUUGUGUCCUUCAAUGCCUCAAAAACUCAAUUUCUCCACCUAGCAACUCGACACAAUCUUCCAAACACCUAUCCCCUAUUCUUCGACAACACUCAGCUGUCACCGUCUUCAACACUAAACAUCCUCGGUCUAUCCUUAACUCAAAAUCUCAACUGGAAACUUCAUAUCUCCUCUCUUGCUAAAUCAGCUUCCUCGAGGUUGGGCGUUCUGUAUCGUCUCCGCCAGUUCUGCUCCCCCGCGCAGUUGCUAUCCAUAUACAGGGGCCUUGUCCGCCUUCGUAUGGAGUAUGCAUCUCACGUGUGGGGAGGCUCCACUCACACAGCUCUUCUGGACAGAGUGGAGUCUAAGGCUCUUCGUCUCGUCAGCUCUCCUCCUCCUACUGAUAGUCUUCUACCUCUUAAAUUCCGCCGCGAUGUUGCCUCUCUUUCUAUCUUCUAUCGAUAUUUCCACGCUGACUGCUCUUCUGAACUUGCUAAUUGCAUGCCUCCCCCCCUCCCGCGGCCCCGCUGCACACGACUUUCUACUCAUGCUCAUCCCUAUACUGUCCAAACCCCUUAUGCAAGAGUUAACCAGCAUCUUCACUCUUUCAUCCCUCAUGCUGGUAAACUCUGGAACAACCUUCCUUCAUCUGUAUUUCCUCCUGCCUACGACUUGAACUCUUUCAAAAGAAGGGUAUCAGGACACCUCUCUUCCCGAAAUUGACCUUUCUUUCGGCAACCUCUUUUGACUCUUCUUUGGGAGCAGCGAGUUGCGGGCUUUUUUAUUAUUGUUUUCUCUUUUUGUGCCCUUGAGCUGUCUCCUUUGCUGUAAAAAAAAGAAGAAAAAAAAAAAAGAGCGGUUCGGCGAUUCCCAUCAUUUUUUUUCAUGACAUUGCGGGAGGCCCUCAUAACUUCCGGCCUUCAUCAUCACCUGCCCCCUCCCCCCCCUUCCUCUCACAAUUAUCUUAAGGAGAAUAGUAUAUUAUCGCAUGAAGGCGUACGUAUUCGGUCAACAAUGUAAGCACCGAAGUUACUUAAUCUCAAUUAGAAUGCCCUGCGUUUCAACCGAUUAGUCUUGCAAAUUCCUUAUGUCCUUUAGGCUGCGAGUCCUGCAACCCAUAGCAGGUUUUCGACAGCCUGAAAACAGAACGUUAAUUGUAGAACUGGUCAACACGAUAUUCCCUCACCGUGUGCUGUGUAUACAUUUACUUACUUGAAUGUUGUGAUGUUAUCGCUGCUAUUGUUGCUACUGUAAUGGCCGCGAGUCGACACACCUGUGAACAGAUGAUUGAAGCAGGUGGUCCGAGAGGUCGUGACGGUGUUCGUGAUGCUGUUCAUUCGUUUACAAGAACCCGGAAGUAUGUUGCCCGUAUGAAGUACCUAUAUAACUAACUCCGUUUUGUAUAUGAUGUGCUGUGCUAGAAUUACAAAUCUCACCACUACAUUUUCCUUUCACACAAUUCUUACGUGAUAAUCCCACCACAAAGUGAACCAGUGAACCGGCACUUUGACCCCUCCUACCCGUAAUGACUAUAUUCAACUAUUCACCUUGUUAUCAUCGACCAGUUCCUAUAGGGCCAGGUCCAUAGUUCUACAGGUGAAAUCGCCAAAAAUGAUAAUCUAUCUCCGCCUAAUUGGUUAAAACUAAUACAUCACAUAAAAAGACCAAGACACUGACUUUUGGCGCGCCAAUCAGUCAGGACGGGAUUACACCGAGGGGAGCCUUGCCUCGCACAAGUGUCUAGAAUACAUGGGUUCGCCCAUCCCAGGAUGCCGAUCCCGGCGGUUCCUGUGGGCAAGUGUAGGUACAUGCAGGCCCCUUUCCAUACCUCCUGGCGGGAUCUAUCAACUUGCUCGUCACGAACUCGUGGGCGUCCCCUUGGCCUCCUCCACUCGGGAUUGUCUCUU